rnacentral:rRNA from 1 species
UGGGGAAUUUUGGACAAUGGGGGCAACCCUGAUCCAGCAAUGCCGCGUGUGUGAAGAAGGCCUUCGGGUUGUAAAGCACUUUUGUCCGGAAAGAAAACUUCGGGGCUAAUACCCCUGGAGGAUGACGGUACCGGAAGAAUAAGCACCGGCUAACUACGUGCCAGCAGCCGCGGUAAUACGUAGGGUGCGAGCGUUAAUCGGAAUUACUGGGCGUAAAGCGUGCGCAGGCGGUGCUGUAAGACCGAUGUGAAAUCCCCGGGCUUAACCUGGGAACUGCAUUGGUGACUGCAGCGCUGGAGUAUGGAAGAGGUGGGUGGAAUUCCACGUGUAGCAGUGAAAUGCGUAGAGAUGUGGAGGAACACCGAUGGCGAAGGCAGCCCCCUGGGCCAAUACUGACGCUCAUGCACGAAAGCGUGGGGAGCAAACAGG